rfam:Clostridiaceae bacterium BRH_c20a BRHa_1000419, whole genome shotgun sequence.
CGACCGGAUUUACUUAAAUCCACAAAAGUUCUAUGGCAAUUACCA